UCGAGCUGCUAACAUCAUCGUGUUACCUUACAUGUGAAUUACACACCGUGUGAAAAACGCGGGUAAAAUCACAUGGGAGGCAAAGAUGAAUCGAUCUUGAUUCUUUUUUCGUUUGAGUGCAUUGAAAGUUUUACGACACUACCAUAAAUUUUGUGAGAAAAAUAACUUGUACACAUGGAUCAUUCACUUUUUCAUGCUGAAGAUGGGCUUCAAAUUUUUCGAGAUGGACGUCAGAGCGUGCUGUGGCAAGCAUCGUCGAUAAUCUCCGGAUCUUUUUUCUUAAAACUUCAGGUGAAUAACUAUUCUUCAUCAAGUUGAAGUGUGAAAUUGAUCAUUUAUGUAAAUGCUGCUCAAGAUCCAAUAGCCGGGGAGAAUAUCUGAUGUGAUCAGCGAUUUCGGAUUGAUGGCUUCCAACGAUUUUUCCAUCAAUUGAUUGCCAUUUAUUGCAACGUUCGUGAGAAUUUGCCGAAGUUUUGAUUUCAAUCAUGACUUACAGCGUACGUUUCAACGAAUCUGAAAGAGGUUUAUACGUUUUACGAUAUUAAUUUUCCAAUCCGCUGUAAACGAUGAUUAACAUCAUACGUUUCGACCAACCUGUAAGAGGUUUUAACGUUUUUCGAUAUUAAUUAAUUUUCCAAGCUGCUGUAAAUAAUGAUUAACUUAAUAGGUUUCGACCAACCUGUAAGAGGUUUUUACAUAUUCCACUAUUCUCAUAUUGUUAUUUCACUGUAAGUAACGAUUCACAUGA